GUGAACGCUGGCGGCGUGCCUAAUACAUGCAAGUCGAGCGAACAGACGAGGAGCUUGCUCCUCUGACGUUAGCGGCGGACGGGUGAGUAACACGUGGAUAACCUACCUAUAAGACUGGGAUAACUUCGGGAAACCGGAGCUAAUACCGGAUAAUAUAUUGAACCGCAUGGUUCAAUAGUGAAAGACGGUUUUGCUGUCACUUAUAGAUGGAUCCGCGCCGCAUUAGCUAGUUGGUAAGGUAACGGCUUACCAAGGCAACGAUGCGUAGCCGACCUGAGAGGGUGAUCGGCCACACUGGAACUGAGACACGGUCCAGACUCCUACGGGAGGCAGCAGUAGGGAAUCUUCCGCAAUGGGCGAAAGCUUGACGGAGCAACGCCGCGUGAGUGAUGAAGGUCUUCGGAUCGUAAAACUCUGUUAUUAGGGAAGAACAAAUGUGUAAGUAACUAUGCACGUCUUGACGGUACCUAAUCAGAAAGCCACGGCUAACUACGUG
rnacentral:rRNA from 1 species